GGUGAUAAUCUGGUUGGUCUGAAGGUGAAGGUCUGCUGGCCUAAAGAACGUUCUAUGAAGGUGUUGUUCAUUCGUUUGAUGCAGCUAAAAAGAAGCACAAGGUGCAUUGUGACGAUGGUGAUACUGAAAUUUUAAAUCUUAAGAGAGAAAAGUGGAAGGUAAUUUAAGACGAGUCUGAACCAGAUGAGGAAGAGGCAGCUAACCAUUCAAGUCCUGAUUGUUCAUCUGAAAUGCCUCAGAAGAAGAAAGCAAAAACAGAUGAUCAAUCAAGCAAGAAAACUAAGAUGGAUGUUUUGCCAAAACGGUUAUUACAUUCUUUCAAAUGGAACUUUUAACAUGGUUCUUUCAAUGAUUUUUGAAAAUCUUCAUUAUUUUGGAUGUCCAGGGUGGAGGAACUUCGGUCGGAAAAUCCAAGAUUGCUACCACAAAGUCUGGUCACAAGACAAAGGAAGACAGUAAAGAGGAUAGCAAAUCCAAAGAUGUCCCCAGGAGUGUUAGUAAAUCAGACAAUAACAGUGUUACUAAAUCCAAGGAUCAUACCACCAAAAGUGGCAGUAAAUCAGUUGAUGCCGCUUAUAAAAUAGGCAACAAAUCCAAUAAUGAGGACAGUGGUGAGACGUCUAAGUCUACCAAAUCCAAGCAUGAUGGAAGUGUUACCCCUAAAGCUUCCACAAAGUCAAAGCAAGACACUUCAAAGGCAUCCAAGUCCAAGCAAGAAACCCCUAAGAUUUCCUCCAAUUCUAAGGGUAAGCCUCUUAAAAGCGGUGGCAAAUCUAAUUCUAAUUGCACCGGUAAGUUGAAAUCCUGUUCAUCCGAGGUUGAAGAAAGUGAGAGCAUGAAAGAGAACUCCACUGAUUCAGAAAAGGUUGUGGAAAGUGCGAAGCAGAAAUCAGAGAGUUCGACCAAGGCACAUGCAAGUGAUGCCAUUUAUG